GUUAAGGAUAAGCACAAGUCAAAGCCAAGCAAACAUGUGCUGGCAAUAUAACUAUAGGCGUGUAAACAUGAUGGCAAUACAUAUCCAUAUAGCUGUCAAAAUAUUGUAUCAUAAUUGUAUUUAAAAUAGGAUUUCUAUUAUAGGUAAUUAUAGACUAGACAAUUAUAGGCAAUUAGUGUACAGAUCCUUGUACUCUCAUAUAUACAUAUGUACAUCAAAUUACAACGUAUACAACAAUUUCACGAUACAAUAUUCUUGCCUCUUCUUGUAUGUAUCAAUUCAUUCUCUUUCUUAUAUGGUAUCAGUUUUUUUCUGGUUAAUCUCCAUCACUUUGUUUCUAUCACUUUGUUUCCAUCCUUCUUCAUCAUCACACUUAUUCACUCUUAUCACCAUGUCUGAUGUUCCACCGCCAAUCUCCACCAUCCCAAUUCCUUCACAAAAUCCACCCAUCAAUGAUCACUCCACAACCACUUCCAACACCGAUCCUUGUGUUAUUCACCAUUCCGACAACCCUGCAACUGUCCUGGUUACCCCUCUGCUCACUGUCGAUAAUUAUGGUUCAUGGAGCCGCGCCGUAACAAUGGCACUUCGUGCCAAAAAUAAAUUCGGUUUUGUCGAUGGAACACUAACCUGUCCGAAGAAGGAAUAUGAUAUCCCUAGAUGGCGACGUUGCAACGAUAUGGUUGCAAGUUGGAUUCUCAACUCGGUUUCAACCGAGAUUCGCCCCAACAUUCUAUAUGCUGAAACAGCGGCGCAAAUUUGGAUCGAUCUAAAGGAUCGUUUUUCUCAGUCCAAUGCUCCAAAGAUAUAUCAGUUGAAACAAUCUAUCUCUGCCCUUAAACAAGAGGGCAUGUCUGUAUCUCUGUAUUUCACCCAAUUGAAAUCUCUCUGGGAUGAACUUCAUUCCAUCGCACCUAUCAAUCCGUGCAUCUCACUACAACAAAAUUGCAUUUUAGCUUCAAAAAUAUUAGCGUCUGCCCCGACGCGGACGCUAUUAGCGUCUAUUUAGAGUCUGUAUGACUGACGCUACUGUCUUUUUAUUGUAAAUCUUUAUUUUAAUUAAAUAAUUAUAGAUAGCGUCCGCUUUGAUAGACACGAUUGAGACACUAAUAAAAAAUAAAAUAAAAUUCAUCUUAGAGUCUACUGGAGCGGACUCUAAUAAACAAUAAAUUAAAUAAAAAAAAACUUUUUGUUAAGAGCCAAUUUUUUUUCCCAAUUUUUCAUUUUCCCACUUUUUUUCUUUUCAUUCCCUAUUUCAGCAAUGAGCAAUAAUAUAUCAUUUGAUAUAUUUUUGCUUUUCUUUCUCAAAUACACAAAAAGAAGUGACAAAAAAAUACAGAAAAAGAAGAAAACAACCCUAAUCCUCCAACAAUGGGUAAACGGAAUUGAAUUCGUCAGAAUGGGUGAACCAAAUUCGUCUCAACAACCGUAAUCCUCCGAAUUCGUCCCCGUCGAAGAACAAUCCGCUGUGGAAGAAGAAAACCCUUCCAUCAACCCUAAUCCGUGAAGAACAACCCCAAUCACUCCGCCGUUAUUAUCCAUCGUUCUCGUGGUUACAAGAUUAUUUGAAUCCAUUUCAUGCAUAUGAUGAAGGGAAUCUUACAUGGCUGGUUCUCUUACUUUUAUCGUGCCUCAUUGGAUUAUAUAGUAAAAUGUGGGAAGCAGCCUGACUUACUGCAUCUUCUUCCGUCAGGCCUUGCCGUGUGUUUUGUCUUUGGAAAAGGAUGCAGUUUUUUAAUACAGAGUGUUGUUUUCUCUUCUUGAAUGGAUGGCAAUUUACUUAAGGAUGGACUUCCAUCUUAUGCCCUUUGGCUUUUCAUUUACGAUGUAGUUUAUUUAUCCUAUUGUUUUAGAUCAAUUUUUAGAGCAAGUACUGAUGCGGUUUUGAUAGGUGCUUAGGACUAUUUUGGUGGGUUAUAUAUUAGUGAGUUAUAUUUUGAUAGGUGCUUAGGACUAUUUUGAUGGGUUAUAUAUUUUGUGGGAUAUUUUGGUGGAUUAUUUAUUAGUGGAUUAUAUUUUCAUGGAUGUAGACCUUUUUUGUUGACAUUAUAUAUGGUUAUAUGGUAUAAAUAGAAGGUCCAGUAAAAAACUAUUUAAUUUAU